rnacentral:rRNA from 1 species
AUUGAACGCUGGCGGCAGGCCUAACACAUGCAAGUCGAGCGGAUGAAGGGAGCUUGCUCCUGGAUUCAGCGGCGGACGGGUGAGUAAUGCCUAGGAAUCUGCCUGGUAGUGGGGGAUAACGUCCGGAAACGGGCGCUAAUACCGCCUACGUCCUGAGGGAGAAAGCUGGGGAUCUUCGGACCUCACGCUAUCAUAUGAGCCUAGGUCGGAUUAGCUAGUUGGUGGGGUAAAGGCCUACCAAGGCGACGAUCCGUAACUGGUCUGAGAGGAUGAUCAGUCACACGGGAACUGAGACACGGUCCAGACGCCUACGGGAGGCAGCAGUGGGGAAUAGUGGACAGUGGGCGAAAGCCUGAUCCAGCCAGGCCGCGUGUGUGAAGAAGGUCUUCGGAUUGUAAAGAACUUUAAGGUGGGAGGAAGGGCAGUAAGUUAAUACCUUGCUGUAGUGACGUUACCAACAGAAGAAGCACCGGCUAACUACGUG